AGUGAACGCUGGCGGUAGGCCUAACACAUGCAAGUCGAACGGCAGCACAGGAGAGCUUGCUCUCUGGGUGGCGAGUGGCGGACGGGUGAGGAAUACAUCGGAAUCUACUCUGUCGUGGGGGAUAACGUAGGGAAACUUACGCUAAUACCGCAUACGACCUACGGGUGAAAGCAGGGGACCUUCGGGCCUUGCGCGAUUGAAUGAGCCGGUGUCGGAUUAGCUAGUUGGCGGGGUAAAGGCCCACCAAGGCGACGAUCCGUAGCUGGUCUGAGGGGAUGAUCGGCCACACUGGAACUGAGACACGGUCCAGACUCCUACGGGAGGCAGCAGUGGGGAAUAUUGGACAAUGGGCGCAAGCCUGAUCCAGCCAUACCGCGUGGGUGAAGAAGGCCUUCGGGUUGUAAAGCCCUUUUGUUGGGAAAGAAAUCCAGCUGGCUAAUACCCGGUUGGGAUGACGGUACCCAAAGAAUAAGCACCGGCUAACUUCGUGCCAGCAGCCGCCGUAA
rnacentral:rRNA from 1 species